rnacentral:lncRNA from 1 species
UUGCUGGGUUAUGGCACUAACAUGCUGCAGUGCAGUGGACUGUAACCUAUUGUAACCAAUAGGAAAAUGACAAAAUCCAAGCUGAGGAAAAGCUUCAUGACUUUUCCUAUUGCAUACAGCAAUCACUGCUUGACACUCACUCACAGAAGAGAGAGAGGCAACAUUGCAUCGUCUAUUUCUAGUUGGGUUAUUAGGCGUGACUAGAUUGGGCAUCUGGUGUCUGAAGUGAUUAGGGGAAUGUGUGCUGAUGGGAGAAGGGAGCUAUCGGGUGCAUUGCCCCAGUGCAUCCAUCAGCCCCAGUGCAUCCAUCAUGAUUAUGUGGAACUAGAGAAUGCUCACCCCGAUCUGCUUCACUGACUGAUAAUAAUGCCAUGUUGUCACAGGUGAUUGUGGAGGGUAGUGUGUAGAUAGAAAAGCUCCACUGAGAUUUUUCAUGCGUUGCUCUUAUAUAACAUGAUCUCAUUUUGUUUUACAUUAUGUGACUAUGUGAACCAUUGUGAUGUAUGUGCACAUCGAUAAUGAACUAAACUGAUGACAGUUUGAAUAUUUGCAUUAGCCUUACUUUUAGAGAGAUAAAAGAUUAUCAAUUGCUACAAAGAAGACAACCUAGUAAAUUUUGUUGAAUUUGGAUAUGAAGCAUUCUAAGAGUACUGAUUUUAUAAUCUUUCACUCUGUUUGUGUGAUCUCAACAGGAUGUCAUUCUACUUGUAGAGUUCAUCCAGGCUUGUAGGAAUUCAUCCAAUUGUCAUGGAGUCAUCAGCAAUGCCAGAUCCUUCAGCCCCACCCACUCGUUCACAAUCACCAAAGUUCUGAUUCUCCUCACCUGUCUGCACUAAUCUACCACAGUAUAAAGCCACCUUCCUGUCACCACCUCAGUGUCUGGUCUUGUUGUUAAUUUUUGAAUCAACUUACCAGAUUUGCGCUAUGAUCCUGUCAUAUUAAGUCCUCUGCUCAGCAUUCUAGAUUCCCCAUGACCCUGCAAAUCAAGGACAGUGUUACUGCUCCGACCAAACCCAACAUGCAAAACCACACAGAGCCAAGCAGCACUCAGAGCCCAGAUCUGUUUGCUGAGCUCGCACAGGCCAUCCAUCAGUCUCUUCAGCCACUCUCCACCACUGUUUCACAAUCUGUGAAUGCAGCAGAUUCCUGCUCCAAUGCUUGCAUUUUAUAAUCUCGGCUCUCUCCAAAUAUCCACCUGGCCAAGAUUCUUACAAGUAUUUUGCAAAAUGUGAGGACUUGCAACUAAUUAAAAUGUGGGUUGAGGAUUUAUCUAGAUAUUCAUCAAGGACACAAUUAAAGUCACCUCCUAAAAAUGUAAUGCUCUUGCAAUGCCGAUUAAUCUAACAUCACAUACGACAGUUUGUGACAGCAAUUUGGAGCAUAUACGUUCCUACAGUGAUAUGUCGUCCAAGAAUGAAACCAGAACUUAAUGCAAAUUUUCAAAAUCAUAUUCUGUAGGCUCAAGAAUAAAUGUAGUUUUUAUGAAUGGGAAUUGCAGCAUCCCUGCUAUUUGAUGUAAAUGAGGAAAAUAAGUCUUACCAACCCAAUGACUUUUCAACUUUAUAUGUUCCUUAUCAGAUAAAUGAGUUUCCUGUAAUAACGCUUUUUUUUUAAGGAACAUUAAAAUUCUUCCUCUUAAUUACAUUUAAAAGGUUACUAAUUUAAGUGUUCUGCACACAAAAACAGCAAAGUAGAGUUAUAAGAAAGAGAACAUGCAAAAAUACACGACAAAUAAUCAGUACGAGAUACCAAAUACAAACAGAAGAGUACCGCAAGUAAAACGAACAAACCUGGAAAACCA